AUACAAUGUAAAACAAGAGGAGACAUAACUAAGCACUAAAUAUGAAAAUCAUGGGGAUUUAGUCACAUUAUGUGAUCAUACAUUGCAUAAGCCUGCCAACAACACCAAUGUACCCCAUAUCUGGCAGGUCCUACACUGCCUAAUGUAUGCUAAAAGAACCAAAGAAGACAUAUAUAGCACUUACCUGCAAGAAAGGGCAGAAGCCUUGAGCAGCUGCCUGCAGGAACACUGAAACAAAAGGAAUGAUGGAAAACAAACAGGUGUGGCAACAUAAAAGAAACAUUUAAAGGAAACCUGGAGACUGGGAAUCCCAGGGAUGGACUACAGAAAUUAACCCAGAAAUCCCAGCAUAAAGAAAACCAGACAUGGAAUAGAAAACCAGAAAACCCAAGAAAAACUAAACAAGAAUUGUAAAAAGAGUACUGGAUACCAGAAGCCAAGGCCAGACAUCUCCACAGAACAGAGCAGGAUGUGACAAACUGUUACAAUCCCUCUACUCCAACUGUGCCAUCUAACAUAUAAAAUUGUACUUGAAAAGUUAGUUUGAUAAUUAAUAGCUUGAUUGAAAAAAAUAAUCCUGAUUCCAAU